CAGCAGCCGCGGUAAUACAGAGGGUGCGAGCGUUAAUCGGAUUUACUGGGCGUAAAGCGUGCGUAGGCGGCUUUUUAAGUCGGAUGUGAAAUCCCUGAGCUUAACUUAGGAAUUGCAUUCGAUACUGGGAAGCUAGAGUAUGGGAGAGGAUGGUAGAAUUCCAGGUGUAGCGGUGAAAUGCGUAGAGAUCUGGAGGAAUACCGAUGGCGAAGGCAGCCAUCUGGCCUAAUACUGACGCUGAGGUACGAAAGCAUGGGGAGCAAACAGGAUUAGAUACCCGUGUAGUCCCUGUCUCUUAUAU
rnacentral:rRNA from 1 species